GCCUGGCUGGCUCAGUUGGUGGAGCAUGUGACUCUUAAUCUCUGGGGUCUUGAGUUCAAACCCCACCUUAGGCA
rnacentral:tRNA from 1 species